CGGGUACUUGUACCUGGUGGCGAGCGGCGGACGGGUGAGUAAUGCCUAGGAAUCUGCCUGGUAGUGGGGGAUAACGCUCGGAAACGGGCGCUAAUACCGCAUACGUCCUACGGGAGAAAGCAGGGGACCUUCGGGCCUUGCGCUAUCAGAUGAGCCUAGGUCGGAUUAGCUAGUUGGUGAGGUAAUGGCUCACCAAGGCGACGAUCCGUAACUGGUCUGAGAGGAUGAUCAGUCACACUGGAACUGAGACACGGUCCAGACUCCUACGGGAGGCAGCAGUGGGGAAUAUUGGACAAUGGGCGAAAGCCUGAUCCAGCCAUGCCGCGUGUGUGAAGAAGGUCUUCGGAUUGUAAAGCACUUUAAGUUGGGAGGAAGGGCAUUUACCUAAUACGUAAGUGUUUUGACGUUACCGACAGAAUAAGCACCGGCUAACUCUGUGCCAGCAGCCGCGGUAAUACAGAGGGUGCAAGCGUUAAUCGGAAUUACUGGGCGUAAAGCGCGCGUAGGUGGUUCGUUAAGUUGGAUGUGAAAUCCCCGGGCUCAACCUGGGAACUGCAUUCAAAACUGUCGAGCUAGAGUAUGGUAGAGGGUGGUGGAAUUUCCUGUGUAGCGGUGAAAUGCGUAGAUAUAGGAAGGAACACCAGUGGCGAAGGCGACCACCUGGACUGAUACUGACACUGAGGUGCGAAAGCG
rnacentral:rRNA from 1 species